CUCCUCUCCUAUACCCAGACACACAGCAGAGAGACUGAUAGGGUGAGAAGAGAAAAAAACAGAGAGAGAAAGCAGUUUUCUGUUCUAUUUCGCCGUCUCCUGUGGUCCCUGGGCCAGCGAGCGGCUAACAGGCACCGCUCAUGUCCGUGAACUCGGAGAAAUCCUCGUCCCCCGAAAGGCCUGAGACCCAGGU